ensembl:lncRNA
UUUUUUUAAUUAAAGAAUAGUUGGUUUACAAUGCUCUGUCAAUUUCUGCUGUACAGCCAAGUGACCCAGUCAUAUGUAUAUGUACAGUCUUUUUCUUAUACUAUUUUCUAUCAUGUUCUAUCACAAGUGAUUGGAUAGCAUUCCCUGUGCUAUACAGCAGGACCUCAUUGCUUAUCCAUUCUAAAUGUAAUAGUUUGCAUCUACUGACCCCAAACUCUCAGUCCAUCCCACUCCCUCCCCGUCCCCCUUGGCAACCACCAGUCUGUUCUCUAGGUCCCGGCUUGUCCUGCUUAGCAUAACGCCCUCAAAGCUCAUGUUGUUGCAAAUGGCAGGAUUUCUAUCUUUCUCUGGGCUGCAUGAUAUUCCACCGUGUAUACGACCACAUUGUCUUUAUUCAUCCAGCAGUGGACAUGUAGGUUGCUGCUGUGUCUUGGCAGGAUGGGCAGAGGGAAAAACUGGGCUGUGAGUCAGUCUCAGGAAGCUCCAGCCAAUUCUACAGAGGCCUCUGAAGCUAGAAGGACCCUUCAGGGUUGUGAGUUGAGGUCCUUCCAAGGAUUCUACGGGUUGGUUUCAAGGCUGUUCCCUCCCACAGCAAUGCCUGCCUUUCUUUCUGGAGCCUGGAGACUGUGUGUUUACCAGCUGUCCCAUUCCUUCAUCCUUCCAGCUCCACUUGUUCAUGGCAUGGCUGUCUUCCUCUGCCGGUAUCUGCCUCUGCUCAGUAACUUCGUGGGCUUGUCUUCGCAUCUCUCUUGGCUGGGGGCCAGUUUCCCGCAGUCUGUACACGCUCGUUUUCUGCAAAAGGUAAAAAUUUUCUAUCCCUGAACAUCAUGUUUUACUUUAUUAAAAUACUGUCGAAUCCAGUUCUUGGCAGAGGAUGCUCUGGGCUGUAUGUAUUGGCACUAUUGUUAUCUCCUUAAGCAGAGGGGAAAGAAAUCAGAGCUAUUUAAUGAGGUCCAAAGCCAAGGCUGUCCCUGGAGUUCCCGUCGGUCUUUGCCUUUUCAAAUUACAAUCGAAACUAUUUUUGUGUGUUGAGAGAAACAGAACACAGGACUCUUUUUGAAGAAGGGAAUGGCUGUCUUUCUCCGGAGGAGGCCGAUUAGCUUCUCUCCUGCAGGAGUCAGGAGCUCCCCUGUGUCCUGUCAGAUGUGAAGUUCAGCCCCUGCAGCAUUUGGAAGAGUUUGUUUCUUGUUUGGAAGCCAUCGCUAGCCUAACGCAUCAUGAGUCUGGGGCCAAGAGUCACGUUUCUCCAACUCACCACUCCUACCCAGAUUUCCUCUUUGCAAAGUCAGGUUCCCUUAAGGUUCAAUUUAUUCUGUCUGGUCAAACUCCACGGUUCCCCAGCAGGUUAAGAAAGGGGAAGAAGAGGGCGUCAGGACGUGGGGGAAAUGAUAACAUUAGACUGUGGGUCAGUGACUGAGAGCCUCUGUGUACAGACAAGGUUCUUUAUAUUUUUGUCAAGCUCACCAGUGCUUUCACACCCUCAUGUUCGUUCACUUGAGCUGCCAACAUCCCAAGGAGAAUUGGCAGUAGUGGUUUCCAUUUAAGACCAAAACUGUCUGCAUUCAUUUGCGCCUUCUUGGAGAGUGAGGGGCAUGUUUCAUAAGCAGUGAUGAUUUCUUUUGAGCAAACACCUUGAUGAGCUGAGGCUGAGACAGGCAAACCCCCUGAGCCCAGCCUGGGAGGCAGAGAUGAGUUCAAGGAAGCACCAGAUUUGCUCUGCCUGAUCCAGUGAGAGAAAUGUGGGUUUCUUUUCUUUUUUUUUCCUAGGGCCACACCCGUGGCAUAUGGAGAUUCCCGGGCUAGGGGUCUAAUUGGAACUGCA